GACGGAGGGGGCUAGCGUUGUUCGGAAUUACUGGGCGUAAAGAGCGCGUAGGCGGCUUAGCAAGUUGGAAGUGAAAGCCCGAGGCUUAACCUCGGAACUGCUUUCAAAACUGUUAGGCUAGAGUAUAGUAGAGGGUGAUAGAAUUCCUAGUGUAGAGGUGAAAUUCUUAGAUAUUAGGAGGAAUACCGGUGGCGAAGGCGAUCACCUGGGCUAUUACUGACGCUGAGGCGCGAAAGCGUGGGGAGCAAACAGGAUUAGAUACCCUGGUAGUCCACGCCCUAAACGAUGAGUGCUAGAUAUCGGGAGCAUAGCUUUCGGUUUCGCAGCUAACGCAUUAAGCACUCCGCCUGGGGAGAACGGUCGCAAGAUUAAA
rnacentral:rRNA from 1 species